UACGUAGGCAGCGAGCGUUUGUUCGGAGUUACUGGGCGUAAAGGGUGUGUAGGCGGUUCUUUUAAGUUUGGUGUGAAAUCUCCCGGCUCAACCGGGAGGGUGCGCCGAAUACUGAGGGACUAGAGUACGGGAGAGGAAAGUGGAAUUCCUGGUGUAGCGGUGAAAUGCGUAGAUAUCAGGAGGAACACCGGUGGUGUAGACGGCUUUCUGGACCGUAACUGACGCUGAGACACGAAAGCGUGGGUAGCAAACAGG
rnacentral:rRNA from 1 species